AAAAGUCGUAACAAGGUUUCCGUAGGUGAACCUGCGGAAGGAUCAUUAUCGUAGUUNNUNGAGGUGCUGGGGCUGUCGCUGACCUUUGAAAAAGGUCGUGACGCCCGGAGCACUCUCUCAUAUCCAUCUCACCCCUUUGUGCAUUGCCGCGUGGGUCCCCUUUUGGCUUGUUCCGAGGGGGACCUGCGUUUUUACAUAGACACCCUUUGAAUGCAUGUGUAGAACGUCUUACUUUUUGCGAUCACACGCAAUCAAUACAACUUUCAACAACGGAUCUCUUGGCUCUCGCAUCGAUGAAGAACGCAGCGAAAUGCGAUACGUAAUGUGAAUUGCAGAAUUCAGUGAAUCAUCGAAUCUUUGAACGCACCUUGCGCCCCUUGGUAUUCCGAGGGGCACACCCGUUUGAGUGUCGUGAAUACUCUCAACCUUCUUGGUUUCUUUGACCAUGAAGGCUUGGACUUUGGAGGUUUUUCUUGCUGGCCUCUUUUGAAGCCAGCUCCUCCUAAAUGAAUGGGUGGGGUCCGCUUUGCUGAUCCUCGACGUGAUAAGCAUUUCUUCUACGUCUCAGUGUCAGCUCGGAACCUGCUUUCCAACCGUCUUUGGUCAUUGACAAUGUUCGAGUUGUGACUCGACCUUACAAACCUUGACCUCAAAUCGGGUGAGACUACCCGCUGAACUUAAGCAUAUCAAU
rnacentral:rRNA from 1 species